AUAUUGGACAAUGGGUGCAAGCCUGAUCCAGCCAUGCCGCGUGCAGGAAGACGGCCUUCUGGGUUGUAAACUGCUUUUGCCAGGGGAUAAAAAGUCCUUGCGAGGAAAAUUGAAGGUACCGUAUGAAUAAGGAUCGGCUAACUCCGUGCCAGCAGCCGCGGUAAUACGGAGGAUCCAAGCGUUAUCCGGAAUCAUUGGGUUUAAAGGGUCCGUAGGCGGGACAAUAAGUCAGUGGUGAAAGUCUGCAGCUUAACUGUAGAAUUGCCGUUGAAACUGUUGUUCUUGAGUAAUUAUGAAGUGGUUAGAAUAUGUAGUGUAGCGGUGAAAUGCAUAGAUAUUACAUAGAAUACCGAUUGCGAAGGCAGAUCACUAAUAAUUCACUGACGCUGAUGGACGAAAGCGUAGGUAGCGAACAGG
rnacentral:rRNA from 1 species